GCAUAUCAAUAAGCGGAGGAAAAGAAACCAACAGGGAUUGCCCUAGUAACGGCGAGUGAAGCGGCAACAGCUCAAAUUUGAAAUCUGGCGUCUUCGGCGUCCGAGUUGUAAUUUGCAGAGGGCGCUUUGGCAUUGGCAGCGGUCCAAGUUCCUUGGAACAGGACGUCACAGAGGGUGAGAAUCCCGUACGUGGUCGCUAGCCUUUACCGUGUAAAGCCCCUUCGACGAGUCGAGUUGUUUGGGAAUGCAGCUCUAAAUGGGAGGUAAAUUUCUUCUAAAGCUAAAUACUGGCCAGAGACCGAUAGCGCACAAGUAGAGUGAUCGAAAGAUGAAAAGCACUUUGGAAAGAGAGUUAAAAAGCACGUGAAAUUGUUGAAAGGGAAGCGCUUGCAGCCAGACUUGCCUGUAGUUGCUCAUCCGGGUUUCUACCCGGUGCACUCUUCUAUAGGCAGGCCAGCAUCAGUUUGGGCGGUUGGAUAAAGGUCUCUGUCAUGUACCUCCUCUCGGGGAGAACUUAUAGGGGAGACGACAUGCAACCAGCCCGGACUGAGGUCCGCGCAUCUGCUAGGAUGCUGGCGUAAUGGCUGUAAGCGGCCCGUCUUGAAACACGGACC
rnacentral:rRNA from 1 species